CGGACCGGCGCCGGAUGUUACUGCCCCGCAGGAGGCGAGCCGCGCAGGCGCAGAGGGCCCGGGCUGCGCUGGCUGAGGUACUCUCAGAGCGGGAUGCGGUGACGCCCCUGGACGGCCAUGGCUGCAGCCGACGAGCUGGCCUUCCACGAGUUCGAAGAAGCCACUGAUCUGCUGGCCGAGACCCCAGACGCAGCCACCGUCAGCAGGAGUGAUCCGCUGACCCCACAGGGGCACGUGGCUGUGGCCAUGGGCUCCGCUGGCGGCUAUGGGGCCGAGGAGGAGAUGGAGGAGAGUGACAAGACCGCGCUUCUGCAGGAGGAGAAGCAGCAGCCGGGGUUCUGGACCUUUGGCUACUAUCAGAGCUUUUUCGACGUGGACACCUCGCAGGUGCUGGACCGUAUCCGAGGCUCGCUGCUGCCCCGACCUGGCCACAACUUUGUCCGGCACCAUCUGCGGAAUCGGCCAGACCUGUACGGCCCCUUCUGGAUCUGUGCCACGCUGGCCUUCGUCCUGGCUGUCACUGGCAACCUGACACUGCUGCUGGCCCAGAGGAGGGACCCCUCUAUCCACUACAGCCCCCAGUUCCACAAGGUGACCGUGGCCGGCACCGCCAUCUACUGCUAUGCGUGGCUGGUGCCGCUGGCGCUGUGGGGCUUCCUGCGGUGGCGUGCGGGUGCCCGGGAGCGCAUGGGGCCUUACACCUUCCUGGAGACGGUGUGCCUCUACGGCUACUCCCUCUUCGUCUUCGUCCCCACCGUGGUCCUAUGGCUCAUCCCCGUGCCGUGGCUGCAGUGGCUCCUGGGGGUGCUGGCACUGGCCCUGUCGGCCAUGGGCCUGGUGCUCACCCUGUGGCCUGUCGUCCGCGAGGACACCAAAGUGGCGGCCGUGGCGCUGCUGUCCACAGUGGUGCUGCUGCACGCCCUCCUGGCCCUGGGCUGUAAGCUGUACUUCUUCCAGCCGCUGCCUUCAGCAGAUGUGGCUCCUGCCCCCCAAGCCAUAUCUCUGCCCCCAACCGUGCUGCCGCCACCCUCCCUGCCACAGCCCACCGCAGCCUCCUAGCCCGCUGUGGACCUGGGAACUCUCUCUUUCAGGGAGAUGGUGUGCAGGGACGCCUCUGCCCGGGCUGCCCCACCCCCCAGACGAUGGCACCUCGAGGUCACUCCGCUACUUGCCAGACUUUUCUUACAAAGCAAACACUUUUAUUUUCUAUGCAAAGGGCCUCCUGCUGGCUUCUGGAAGGGGCAGUGGCACCCUCCCAGCCCCCGCUCAGCCCCCCCCAGAGGAAGCCCUUGGCAGGGGGGCAGCACGGUCUGUCCCGCCCCACUCACAUGGAGCCGAUGAAAGCAACGUCAAACCAGAAAGCCAGACCGUGAACCAGCCCUGAAUGCAGCAUGUGGAAUUUGAAUGGGAUUUCUAUCCUGGAAGGCAAAGGGCAGUGGCUGCUGGGAGAGAAGAGGAAGUUCACUGUGUAUUUGACAGACUUGGCCAUCAGGAUCCGGAUGUCAAACGUGUCCUGGAGAGACCAUGGGCAGGACUUGGCUUUGGGGGGCCAGAGGCAGUGAGCGAGGGGCGAGCCCUGCCCCACAGCCCGGGUCUGGCCUCGGCCUCCAGGGCCAGGGGGCUCAAGCCAGCUUGUCCUCAGACAUACUAAAGGGCGGACAAACUAGCGCAAUCCAUGUGGAGGGCAGUUUGGUGACGGUUCUCAAAAUGACAAGCGUCCAUAUGCCUCAAAGACGUGGCACUUCCACCCCUGGGAGUCAGACCCACAGGGAGACACGUGCAUGUCCACCCUUACAUGUGUAGUUACAAUUUCUGCAGUAGCAACACGCUGGAAACCAUCUCGUUACGCCAACGACAGCCCAUGCAUGAGAGACCACAUGAAGGGCAGACGUAGAAAGACUGCCAAGAUAAACCGGUAAGUGCAAAAGAAGUCAUGGGGGUGUGCUGACGUCGGCUCCCAGUAAGGACGGAGGUCUGGCAUCAGGCUAAUGUGCCUGUCAAGAACUAUACAGACCGAAUAAAACACAAAGAGGGAAAAGCUGCUUAUUGGAAAGCACCAGAGAGCAGCCCCAGCCGGGACUUCAGGGACCAAUACCCCAGAGCAGCCUUCUAGGGUGAGGGGGACAAAGUGGGAGCUCAGGGUGGCCGAGGCAGCCAGGACCCAAGGGGCCGAGAGGCUAACGAGAAGAGAAAGGCAGAAAAGUGAGCUGCAGCGUCUGAAACCAAACAGAAAGCCGGUUCUAAGAGACUGAAGAGCAGGCUGCACCCCCAAACAGCGGUUCUCAAAGUCCCCUCCCUCCCAGGCCACCCCCUUAUUUUCCUCAAUUUUUUGCCUCUUUUAUUCCUACUCUAACACCUGUGAUAUCACAACAAAUCGAAUGCAGAAGCAGACAGCAGACCUUGCUGUCUUCCAGUGAGUCAGGUGUUAAAGAGAUUUCCAGCUGUAAAACAAUUCUCCCCUUCUGGCUGAAAAAUUUGCGGGGGGCGGGAUUAGUUGUUUUUCAUAAAAGAUGCUAUUUAUGCUAAUUAGAGAUGGGUUUAUUAUUGCUUUAAAAUGAAGAAAUGUCACAGUAAUGCAAAAUGUUGUUAGGGAAAACUGGAGCACAUAUGAGAGCACUGUACUUUCUUCAUGGUUUUUCUGUAAACCUACAACUGCUCUAAAAUAUAAGUAAAAAAAUGAAUUAAGUUUGUACUCUUAAUUUCUUGGAUUUAGUUUUUAUUACCCAUAAAUACUGACGGAAUAUCAGCAGAUACAACACAUUAAAUAAAAGUUUGUUAUAAGAAUGUUUGAGACCCACUGUCCUCCGGGGAAACCAGGAAUUGAGACUGGAUCAGCCUCGGCAAGUCUAAGGAACAACCUGCAAACAUCUCGUUUGUUGUUUAGGCCUGAGAAGAGCCAGGUGAUCUGUCCAUAUGGUUACCUGCCUGCCAGGAGAAAAACAAAUCCUCGGUGGAAGGGAAAACAUCACCCAGAGCCCUACAAUAUUUCAUUCUGGCAUUCAGUGAUCAGGUGUCCAAGAGACAGGACCACGGGACCGGGACCAAAAACUGAGAGAAUAUACAACAGAAACAUCCAGAUACUGAAGUGAUCAAGGAUAUAACUAAUAUGUUCAAGGAAAACAAACAAACAAAAAAAGCUAAAAAAAAAAAAAA